GGGUUGUGAGGUUAAGCGACUAAGCGUACACGGUGGAUGCCCUGGCAGUCAGAGGCGAUGAAGGACGUGCUAAUCUGCGAUAAGCGUCGGUAAGGUGAUAUGAACCGUUAUAACCGGCGAUUUCCGAAUGGGGAAACCCAGUGUGUUUCGACACACUAUCAUUAACUGAAUCCAUAGGUUAAUGAGGCGAACCGGGGGAACUGAAACAUCUAAGUACCCCGAGGAAAAGAAAUCAACCGAGAUUCCCCCAGUAGCGGCGAGCGAACGGGGAGCAGCCCAGAGCCUGAAUCAGUGUGUGUGUUAGUGGAAGCGUCUGGAAAGGCGCGCGAUACAGGGUGACAGCCCCGUACACAAAAAUGCACAUGCUGUGAGCUCGAUGAGUAGGGCGGGACACGUGGUAUCCUGUCUGAAUAUGGGGGGACCAUCCUCCAAGGCUAAAUACUCCUGACUGACCGAUAGUGAACCAGUACCGUGAGGGAAAGGCGAAAAGAACCCCGGCGAGGGGAGUGAAAAAGAACCUGAAACCGUGUACGUACAAGCAGUGGGAGCACGCUUAGGCGUGUGACUGCGUACCUUUUGUAUAAUGGGUCAGCGACUUAUAUUCUGUAGCAAGGUUAACCGAAUAGGGGAGCCGAAGGGAAACCGAGUCUUAACUGGGCGUUAAGUUGCAGGGUAUAGACCCGAAACCCGGUGAUCUAGCCAUGGGCAGGUUGAAGGUUGGGUAACACUAACUGGAGGACCGAACCGACUAAUGUUGAAAAAUUAGCGGAUGACUUGUGGCUGGGGGUGAAAGGCCAAUCAAACCGGGAGAUAGCUGGUUCUCCCCGAAAGCUAUUUAGGUAGCGCCUCGUGAAUUCAUCUCCGGGGGUAGAGCACUGUUUCGGCAAGGGGGUCAUCCCGACUUACCAACCCGAUGCAAACUGCGAAUACCGGAGAAUGUUAUCACGGGAGACACACGGCGGGUGCUAACGUCCGUCGUGAAGAGGGAAACAACCCAGACCGCCAGCUAAGGUCCCAAAGUCAUGGUUAAGUGGGAAACGAUGUGGGAAGGCCCAGACAGCCAGGAUGUUGGCUUAGAAGCAGCCAUCAUUUAAAGAAAGCGUAAUAGCUCACUGGUCGAGUCGGCCUGCGCGGAAGAUGUAACGGGGCUAAACCAUGCACCGAAGCUGCGGCAGCGACGCUGAUGCGUUGUUGGGUAGGGGAGCGUUCUGUAAGCCUGCGAAGGUGUGCUGUGAGGCAUGCUGGAGGUAUCAGAAGUGCGAAUGCUGACAUAAGUAACGAUAAAGCGGGUGAAAAGCCCGCUCGCCGGAAGACCAAGGGUUCCUGUCCAACGUUAAUCGGGGCAGGGUGAGUCGACCCCUAAGGCGAGGCCGAAAGGCGUAGUCGAUGGGAAACAGGUUAAUAUUCCUGUACUUGGUGUUACUGCGAAGGGGGGACGGAGAAGGCUAUGUUGGCCGGGCGACGGUUGUCCCGGUUUAAGCGUGUAGGCUGGUUUUCCAGGCAAAUCCGGAAAAUCAAGGCUGAGGCGUGAUGACGAGGCACUACGGUGCUGAAGCAACAAAUGCCCUGCUUCCAGGAAAAGCCUCUAAGCAUCAGGUAACAUCAAAUCGUACCCCAAACCGACACAGGUGGUCAGGUAGAGAAUACCAAGGCGCUUGAGAGAACUCGGGUGAAGGAACUAGGCAAAAUGGUGCCGUAACUUCGGGAGAAGGCACGCUGAUAUGUAGGUGAAGCGACUUGCUCGUGGAGCUGAAAUCAGUCGAAGAUACCAGCUGGCUGCAACUGUUUAUUAAAAACACAGCACUGUGCAAACACGAAAGUGGACGUAUACGGUGUGACGCCUGCCCGGUGCCGGAAGGUUAAUUGAUGGGGUUAGCGCAAGCGAAGCUCUUGAUCGAAGCCCCGGUAAACGGCGGCCGUAACUAUAACGGUCCUAAGGUAGCGAAAUUCCUUGUCGGGUAAGUUCCGACCUGCACGAAUGGCGUAAUGAUGGCCAGGCUGUCUCCACCCGAGACUCAGUGAAAUUGAACUCGCUGUGAAGAUGCAGUGUACCCGCGGCAAGACGGAAAGACCCCGUGAACCUUUACUAUAGCUUGACACUGAACAUUGAGCCUUGAUGUGUAGGAUAGGUGGGAGGCUUUGAAGUGUGGACGCCAGUCUGCAUGGAGCCGACCUUGAAAUACCACCCUUUAAUGUUUGAUGUUCUAACGUUGACCCGUAAUCCGGGUUGCGGACAGUGUCUGGUGGGUAGUUUGACUGGGGCGGUCUCCUCCUAAAGAGUAACGGAGGAGCACGAAGGUUGGCUAAUCCUGGUCGGACAUCAGGAGGUUAGUGCAAUGGCAUAAGCCAGCUUGACUGCGAGCGUGACGGCGCGAGCAGGUGCGAAAGCAGGUCAUAGUGAUCCGGUGGUUCUGAAUGGAAGGGCCAUCGCUCAACGGAUAAAAGGUACUCCGGGGAUAACAGGCUGAUACCGCCCAAGAGUUCAUAUCGACGGCGGUGUUUGGCACCUCGAUGUCGGCUCAUCACAUCCUGGGGCUGAAGUAGGUCCCAAGGGUAUGGCUGUUCGCCAUUUAAAGUGGUACGCGAGCUGGGUUUAGAACGUCGUGAGACAGUUCGGUCCCUAUCUGCCGUGGGCGCUGGAGAACUGAGGGGGGCUGCUCCUAGUACGAGAGGACCGGAGUGGACGCAUCACUGGUGUUCGGGUUGUCAUGCCAAUGGCACUGCCCGGUAGCUAAAUGCGGAAGAGAUAAGUGCUGAAAGCAUCUAAGCACGAAACUUGCCCCGAGAUGAGUUCUCCCUGACUCCUUGAGAGUCCUGAAGGAACGUUGAAGACGACGACGUUGAUAGGCCGGGUGUGUAAGCGCAGCGAUGCGUUGAGCUAACCGGUACUAAUGAACCGUGAGGCUUAACCUUACAACGCCGAAGGUGUUU
rnacentral:rRNA from 1 species